CACGUAGAGACUCCCAUCACCUGGCACUGUUUCCCAGUCUCUUUCUGGGCUCCCUCACAGGUGGCCACUGAUGCACCCAGAAUCAAAUGCUGCUUUAUCUGAAUCCAAAUCAGUGAUGUUGAAAUGAGGGAGGAAUGGAAGAGAAGAGGAGAAGGAAGGGAGGGUUCUGGGCCUGCCCUCGCCCAUUGCCCAUGUAGACCUACAUCCUGCUGGAGCGCCUUGUUCCCUACCUGUCUUCCUCACCUCAGAAGCCUUGUGGGACACAAGGUUGCCCAGGAACAAUGGAAUAAAAGGCAGAAG
ensembl:lncRNA